rnacentral:rRNA from 1 species
UGGGGAAUUUUGCGCAAUGGGCUAACGCCUGACGCAGCAACGCCGCGUGGAGGAUGAAGGUCUUUGGAUUGUAAACUCCUGUCAGCGGGGAAAAAGGGACCUGACCUAAUACGUCGGGGACUUGAUUGUACCCGCAGAGGAAGCCCCGGCUAACUCUGUGCCAGCAGCCGCGGUAAUACAGAGGGGGCAAGCGUUAUUCGGAAUUAUUGGGCGUAAAGGGCGCGUAGGCGGCGAUUCAAGUGACGGGUGAAAUCCCUCGGCUUAACCGAGGAACUGCCUGUCAGACUGGAUUGCUUGAGUCCGGGAGAGGCGAGUGGAAUUCCCAGUGUAGCGGUGAAAUGCGUAAAUAUUGGGAGGAACACCAGUGGCGAAGGCGGCUCGCUGGACCGGAACUGACGCUGAGGCGCGAAAGCGUGGGGAGCAAACAG